UGGGAGGGGUGGCAAGCACUUUGGAGGACAGGAUUAGAAUUCAAAAUAACUUUGACAAAUUACAAAAAUUGUCUGAAAUCAAUACGAUGAAAUUCAGUAAUGACAAGUACAAAGUAUUGCUCUUCAGGGGAAAAAAAUCA